AGGAUGAACGCUGGCGGCGUGCUUAAUACAUGCAAGUCGAGCGAACAGACGAGGAGCUUGCUCCUCUGACGUUAGCGGCGGACGGGUGAGUAACACGUGGAUAACCUACCUAUAAGACUGGGAUAACUUCGGGAAACCCGGAGCUAAUACCGGAUAAUAUAUUGAACCGCAUGGUUCAAUAGUGAAAGACGGUUUUGCUGUCACUUAUAGAUGGAUCCGCGCCGCAUUAGCUAGUUGGUAAGGUAACGGCUUACCAAGGCAACGAUGCGUAGCCGACCUGAGAGGGUGAUCGGCCACACUGGAACUGAGACACGGUCCAGACUCCUACGGGAGGCAGCAGUAGGGAAUCUUCCGCAAUGGGCGAAAGCUUGACGGAGCAACGCCGCGUGAGUGAUGAAGGUCUUCGGAUCGUAAAACUCUGUUAUUAGGGAAGAACAAAUGUGUAAGUAACUAUGCACGUCUUGACGGUACCUAAUCAGAAAGCCACGGCUAACUACGUGCCAGCAGCCGCGGUAAUACGUAGGUGGCAAGCGUUAUCCGGAAUUAUUGGGCGUAAAGCGCGCGUAGGCGGUUUUUUAAGUCUGAUGUGAAAGUCCACGGCUCAACCGUGGAGGGUCAUUGGAAACUGGAAAACUUGAGUGCAGAAGAGGAAAGUGGAAUUCCAUGUGUAGCGGUGAAAUGCGCAGAGAUAUGGAGGAACACCAGUGGCGAAGGCGACUUUCUGGUCUGUAACUGACGCUGAUGUGCGAAAGCGUGGGGAUCAAACAGGAUUAGAUACCCUGGUAGUCCACGCCGUAAACGAUGAGUGCUAAGUGUUAGGGGGUUUCCGCCCCUUAGUGCUGCAGCUAACGCAUUAAGCACUCCGCCUGGGGAGUACGACCGCAAGGUUGAAACUCAAAGGAAUUGACGG
rnacentral:rRNA from 1 species